CUCGUCACCGCUGCUAUGCCCGCCUCCGCCUCCCCGGCAGUGCAUGUCGCUAGCGUGCGCACUCAUGUGCCCGUCACGCUCGACCUCCAUGCCUCGAACUUCACCAAGUGGCGGAUGCUCGUCCGCGUGCUCCUCGGCAAGUACGACUUGCUCCCUCACGUCAACGUCGUCAUCGCCGCGGCGGACCGCACGCCGGACUGGACUCGCGAUGACUACGUCGUUCGGUCCUGGCUCUACGGGUCCAUCUCCGACGAAAUCCUGGACAUAAUCAUGGCGGAGGAUCAAACUGCCCAGGAAGCAUGGAUGCUCAUCACCAACCUGUUUCUAGACAAUCAGAUGACUCGGGCUGUUUACCUUGAGGCGGAGUUCCGAGGUCUCGUCCAAGGUGACCUCUCCAUCACAGCCUACUGUCAUCGCCUCAAGGCCCUUUCGGAUGCUCUCAGCGACGUCGGCACCCCCGUCUCCGACCAAACUCUUGUCCUCAACUGCCUCCGUGGACUCAAUCCGCGCUUCUCCGACAUCACGACGAUCGUCAUCAUGCAGAAUCCUCUUCCGUCGUUCAACCAGACGAGGUCCUUGCUGACCCUCCGCGAGGCCCAGCUCGCGAACUCCGCCACGCUCGGGACCCAGACGGCUCUCUAUGGUGGUGCGCCUCCCCACGGCGCCAGCGGCUCCACCCCCUCU
rnacentral:rRNA from 1 species